rnacentral:sRNA from 1 species
CACCGCCUGGGGAGUACGACCGCAAGGUUAAAACUCAAAUGAAUUGACGGGGACCCGCACAAGUAGUGGAGCAUGUGGUUUAAUUCGAAGAUACGCGCAGAACCUUACCAACACUUGACAUGUUCGUCGCGACUUUAAGAGAUUAAAGUUUUCGGUUCGGCCGGACGAAACACAGGUGCUGCAUGGCUGUUGUCAGCUCGUGUCGUGAGAUGUUGGGUUAAGUCCCGCAACGAGCGCAACCCUCACUUUUAGUUGCCAUCAUUAAGUUGGGCACUCUGAAAGAACUGCCAGUGAUAAGCUGGAGGAAGGUGGGGAUGACGUCAAGUCCUCAUGGCCCUUACGUGUUGGGCUACACACGUGCUACAAUGGUAUCUACAACAGGAAGCAAGACGGCGACGUUAAGCAAAUCCUUAAAAGAUACCUCAGUUCGGAUUGCACUCUGCAACUCGAGUGCAUGAAGCUGGAAUUACUAGUAAUCGUGGAUCAGCGUGCCACGGUGAAUGCGUUCCCGGGUCUUGUACACACCGCCCGUCACACCAUGGGAGUUGGUUCUACCUUAAGGCAAGGUUUCAAACCCUUGACCACGGUAUAGUCAGCGACUGGGGUGAAGUCGUAACAAGGUAGCCGUAGGGGAACCUGCGGCUGGAUUACCUCCUUUCUAAGGAUGAAUGAAAAUUGUUUUUCAUUCUAAAUAAUAUACAGGUUAAUGUUGACCGUCCUCAUUUCUCUUCUUAAUGUAGUGUUUCUCUUGCAUGGGGGCCGGUAGCUCAGUUGGUUAGAGCACACCCUUGAUAAGGGUGGGGUCGAAAGUUCGAGUCUUUCUCGGCCCACCAAUUUAUUAUGGGGGAUUAGCUCAGCUGGGAGAGCGCCUGAUUUGCAUUCAGGAGGUCAGCGGUUCGAUCCCGCUAUCCUCCACCAAACACUUAGUUAUAAAAAAUCGUAAAAAACUAAUAAUUAAUAUCAAUAUCUAUAUCCGAACAUUAGUAAUGUUAUUAGCUAAUGUUCAAUAAUAAAAAUUUGAUUCAACACAGAAUUUUUUUCUG